GAAAAUAUAAUGAAAUGCAAUGACUAAAGAGAAAAGGAAGAAAUAUAAUGGAUUGAAAGAAGGAAUGCAAUGAAUUGCAAAACUAACUAAAGAGAAGAAUAAAAUUUUAAAAUUUUUGAAUGAAGAAUGAAGAAAUGUGACAACUCCGAAACUUUACUCAUCUAUAUAAUAAAGGAAGAGUUUUGUUUGAGAAAUUUGUUUCGAAGUGUUUAAAAUUUGAUGUGAACUUAAAAGUUGACUUAAUCAAAUUCAUAUCAAGAAUUCUACAUUCUCUAAAUU
rnacentral:lncRNA from 1 species